UACAGAGGUGGCAAGCGUUGUUCGGAAUUACUGGGCGUAAAGGGCGCGUAGGCGGUCUUGUAAGUUCUGUGUGAAAUCCCUCGGCUCAACUGAGGAAGUGCAUCCGAAACUGGCAGGCUUGAGUACUAAAGAGGGUCGCGGAAUUCCCGGUGUAGAGGUGAAAUUCGUAGAUAUCGGGAGGAACACCGGUGGCGAAGGCGGCGACCUGGGUAGAUACUGACGCUGAGGUGCGAAAGCGUGGGGAGCAAACAGG
rnacentral:rRNA from 1 species